GUCCACGCCGUAAACGAUGUCAACUAGCCGUUGGUCCUAUAUACAGGAUUAGUGGCGCAGCUAACGCAUUAAGUUGACCGCCUGGGAGUACGGCCGCAAGGUUAAACUCAAAUGAAUUGACGGGGGCCCGCACAAGCGGUGGAGCAUGUGGUUUAAUUCGAUGCAACGCGAAGAACCUUACCUACCCUUGACAUCCAGAGAAUCUGUUAGAGAUAGUAGAGUGCCUUCGGGAACUCUGAGACAGGUGCUGCAUGGCUGUCGU
rnacentral:rRNA from 1 species